rnacentral:rRNA from 1 species
UACAGAGGGGGCAAGCGUUGUUCGGAAUUACUGGGCGUAAAGGGCGCGUAGGCGGCCUGUUAAGUCGAACGUGAAAUCUCCGGGCUCAACCCGGGAACUGCGUCCGAUACUGGCAGGCUUGAAUUCGGGAGAGGGAUGUGGAAUUCCAGGUGUAGCGGUGAAAUGCGUAGAUAUCUGGAGGAACACCGGUGGCGAAGGCGGCAUCCUGGACCGAUAUUGACGCUGAUGCGCGAAAGCCAGGGGAGCAAACGGG